CCCAGGGAUGGGGGAGCCUGGUGGGCUGCCGUCUAUGGGUCACACAGAGUAGGACACAACUGAAGUGACUUAGCAGUAGUUUAUUAGGAACUCAAGAGGAGAUUAAGAAUAGGUUGAGGUCAAAGUCCUUUCCCAAGGACACACCACUUCUACAUGCUAAGCUGGUAUCACAUACAGGUAUGUCUGACACCUAUUUCUGAAAAGCAGAAAGAAGAACAGAAAAAAAAAAAAGAAGAGUAAAAUAUGAAAUAAUUUAGCACUAUUACAAUAGCUUAAAACCAAUGAUUGCUGGAAGGAGUUAAUAUAAGGAAAGCAACAGAGUCCAAUAAAUUCUAAAAGAUGCUCACUGGAGGUCCCAAACUCUUCUCAAAGCAACAGCAACAUUUCAAGGUCCAUUUGAUGUCCCAGAAUUAUAGCUUUGACUUAUAAUAAUGGGCCACCAAAAAAAGAAAACCUAUCACAAUCAAAUACAAUAAUUUUUUCUUCAACUUUUCCCAACCUUAGGUAAUUUGAUUUCCAUUGACAUAGUUAGAAGUUAACCUGACUAGCUCUAUAAAAAUUAAGUAAUUCAAAUACCACUUUACUAUAGAAAGUGGAAUUUACAGAUGUAUUCAGUUCAGUUCAGUCAAAUAAUGUUGAGUAAAGCGUGAUCCAACUUAUAAUCACUAUCAAAUUAAGACCAUUAGUUAGCUGUAUGCCCUCAACUUAAGCAAAAUGUUGAAUGUAUGUAAUUAUUGGGAUAAUUCAAGUCAGUAAAAACAUUUUGAUGCACUUGUAAGCCUUUCUCUAACAUUAUUUAUGUUUGAGAGAUGAUGGCCUGGUUUAACCUAAUGCCUUUGAAUAUUUCCAUCAAGAAAGAAAGCUUGGUCCCCAAAAUCUCUAUAACACGAAGGCCAGUUUACUUCACCCUGGCAUCAAAUAUCACCUUUCACUUUAGAUGGCAGCUGACAGGUGAUAUAGUCUUAGGUGUUUGUGAUUUAUUUGACUAUUUGUAUUAAUUGUGUGUAUAGAGUAUUUCAUGAUUAUUAUUUCAUUUUCCAUUUAUUUUACACCUAUUUCUCCCUAGCAAUAGAUAGUCUUUAGCCCAGGAUCCACUAAUGCAUGUUUUUCACUUAAAAACAAACAAACAAAAAACCUAAGAAGCAAUAUUAAU
rnacentral:lncRNA from 1 species